UAGGACAUUUCUUAAUUAGUGCCUGAUGGGU
rnacentral:piRNA from 1 species